CGGUCCUACGGGGGGCAGCAGUGAGGAAUAUUGGUCAAUGGGCGGGAGCCUGAACCAGCCAAGCCGCGUGAGGGAAGAAGGUACAGCGUAUCGUAAACCUCUUUUGUCAGGGAACAAAGGCGGGGACUAGUCCCCGGAUGAGGGUACCUGAAGAAAAAGCAUCGGCUAACUCCGUGCCAGCAGCCGCGGUAAUACGGAGGAUGCGAGCGUUAUCCGGAUUUAUUGGGUUUAAAGGGGGCGCAGGCGGCCUGUUAAGUCAGCGGUAAAAGCCCGGG
rnacentral:rRNA from 1 species